GUUUUUGUAGCUUAAAUUUAAAGCGUGACAUUGAAGCUGUCAAAAUGGACUUUUUGUCCUAAGAACA
rnacentral:tRNA from 1 species